UACGUAGGGUGCGAGCGUUAAUCGGAAUUACUGGGCGUAAAGGGUGCGCAGGCGGUCCUGCAAGUCAGGCGUGAAAUCCCCGGGCUUAACCUGGGAAUGGCACUUGAAACUACGGGACUGGAGUAUGGCAGAGGGAGGUGGAAUUCCACGUGUAGCAGUGAAAUGCGUAGAGAUGUGGAGGAACACCGAUGGCGAAGGCAGCCUCCUGGGCCAAUACUGACGCUCAUGCACGAAAGCGUGGGGAGCAAACAGG
rnacentral:rRNA from 1 species